CAAUGCAAAACUCAGAUGUCUUCCACCUCUACUUAUCUGACUGCAGAGAGGAGGACAGAGGACAGUGGACACACAGUUUAACAUGAUGGACUAUAGGACAGGACUGCUGCUUUUAACCAUCUGCUGCUGGACAGGUGUUGAUGGUCAGACUCUGACAGAAUCUGAACCAGCGAUUAAAAGACCUGGAGAAUCCCACAGACUGACCUGUACAGCCUCUGGAUUCACAUUCAGCAGCUCUUAUAUGGCCUGGGUUAGACAGGCUCAUGGAAAAGGACUGGAGUGGAUCGCUUAUAUCUAUACUGACAGUAGCAGCAAAUACUACUCUCAGUCAGUUCAGGGCCGGUUCACCAUCUCCAGAGACGACAACAGACAGCAGGUGUAUCUCCAGAUGAACAGUCUGAGGACUGAAGACUCUGCUGUGUAUUACUGUGCCAGAGAGCCACAACAACACAAACCAUCAGUAGACCUGAACAAAAACCCCUCAGUGCCUGAACACUUGUAACAUGAAGCCACCAGAGGAGGAGCCCUCAGACCACUAAUGAUUUCAACACCAGCUCACUGUCACACUGAAGACA